rnacentral:rRNA from 1 species
CCUACGGGUGGCAGCAGUGAGGAAUAUUGGUCAAUGGGCGUAAGCCUGAACCAGCCAAGUCGCGUGAGGGAUGACUGCCCUAUGGGUCGUAAACCUCUUUUAUAUGGGAAUAAAAUGUUCGACGUGUCGGAUUUUGUAUGUACCUUAUGAAUAAGGAUCGGCUAACUCCGUGCCAGCAGCCGCGGUAAUACGGAGGAUCCGAGCGUUAUCCGGAUUUAUUGGGUUUAAAGGGAGCGUAGGUGGCUUUUUAAGUCAGUGGUUAAAGUUUGCGGCUCAACCGUAACAUUGCAGUUGACACUGGCAGUCUCGAGUAUAGUAGAGGUAGGCGGAAUUCGUGGUGUAGCGGUGAAAUGCUUAGAUAUCACGCAGAACUCCGAUUGCGAAGGCAGCUUACCAGAC